UACGGAGGGUGCAAGCGUUAAUCGGAAUCACUGGGCGUAAAGGGCGCGUAGGUGGUCUGAUAAGUCGGGUGUGAAAGCCCUGGGCUUAACCCGGGAACUGCAUUCGAUACUGUCAGGCUAGAGUAUGGUAGAGGGAAGCGGAAUUCCGCAUGUAGCGGUGAAAUGCGUAGAUAUGCGGAGGAACACCAGUGGCGAAGGCGGCUUCCUGGACCAAAACUGACACUGAGGCGCGAAAGCGUGGGGAGCAAAC
rnacentral:rRNA from 1 species